GUGCUUUCGGGUGUGGCAUCAUCAAGAUUCACAUGGACAAGCCAGUUGUUGUGAUUAAUGAGAAUCUUGAUGAUGCUGCAUCAGCAAACAC
rnacentral:pre_miRNA from 1 species